CCCGGCGACCGGCGCACGGGUGAGUAACACGUAUGCAACCUGGCCGUGACAGAUGGAUAACCGGGAGAAAUCCCGCCUAAUACAACAUAAUGCCCGGGAGGGGACAUCCCCUGCCGGUCAAAGGGGGCGACCCCGGUCAUGGAUGGGCAUGCGGCGCAUUAGGUAGUUGGUGGGGCAACGGCCCACCAAGCCGACGAUGCGUAGGGGUUCUGAGAGGAAGGUCCCCCACAUUGGAACUGAGACACGGUCCAAACUCCUACGGAAGGCAGCAG
rnacentral:rRNA from 1 species